UACGGAGGAUCCAAGCGUUAUCCGGAAUCAUUGGGUUUAAAGGGUCCGUAGGCGGCCCGAUAAGUCAGUGGUGAAAUCUCCCGGCUCAACCGGGAAAUGGCCAUUGAUACUGUCGGGCUUGAAUUAUUAGGAAGUAACUAGAAUAUGUAGUGUAGCGGUGAAAUGCUUAGAUAUUACAUGGAAUACCGACUGCGAAGGCAGGUUACUACUAAUGGAUUGACGCUGAUGGACGAAAGCGUGGGUAGCGAACAGG
rnacentral:rRNA from 1 species